GCCGAGGUGGCGGAAUUGGUAUACGCGUACGCUUGAGGUGCGUAUGGGGAAACCCGUGCGGGUUCAAGUCCCGCUCUCGGCACCA
rnacentral:tRNA from 1 species